rnacentral:rRNA from 1 species
GAUGAACGCUGGCGGCGUGCCUAAUACAUGCAAGUCGAGCGAACAGACGAGGAGCUUGCUCCUUUGACGUUAGCGGCGGACGAGUGAGUAACACGUGGGUAACCUACCUAUAAGACUGGGAUAACUUCGGGAAACCGGAGCUAAUACCGGAUAAUAUUUCGAACCGCAUGGUUCGAUAGUGAAAGAUGGCUUUGCUAUCACUUAUAGAUGGACCCGCGCCGUAUUAGCUAGUUGGUAAGGUAACGGCUUACCAAGGCAACGAUACGUAGCCGACCUGAGAGGGUGAUCGGCCACACUGGAACUGAGACACGGUCCAGACUCCUACGGGAGGCAGCAGUAGGGAAUCUUCCGCAAUGGGCGAAAGCCUGACGGAGCAACGCCGCGUGAGUGAUGAAGGUCUUCGGAUCGUAAAACUCUGUUAUUAGGGAAGAACAAACGUGUAAGUAAUUGUGCACGUCUUGACGGUACCUAAUCAGAAAGCCACGGCUAACUACGUG